CUGAUAACAAAGUAGGAAAAAAUAAAUUCCAAUAGCUUUAUAAAUUUUUUUUUUCCAUUCAAACACUUUGCAAACACUGAGCAGUGAAUGCCUAUGUUACACAUCAAUUUCUCCUCCUCUCUAUAAAUUUAAUGAGUCCUUAAAGAUAUUUGAAGACUUACUAGUCUAAAGAAGUAAAGUAGAAAGAGAAAUUUCAGACCAUUGUCUAAAUAAUAUAUGAAAGUGGCUGCAAGACUAGUGUGUGUCAUGUUUGUCACUUUCAUGGCGGACAGGACAUGUGAUAAUGGUUUAGAUCACAACCAAGAAGAUUUAUAUUACAUGUUUUCAAAGACUUUUUAUUUACAAGGAACAGAAAACAUGGAUUUGGAGUCUAAAGGCAAUGUGAGAUCUCUGGCAGUAGGAGGAUACGUGUCAUGGUGAUAACAAGGUAAAAUUGUCUGAGACCAUGUAGAAAGCUGAGACGGGAACUAAGAUCUUAGGCAGAUUCUCAUUCUCACAGUUCUCACCUUCUGCUUACCUUCCAGAGUGCCUUUUCUUUGCAGAGUGCCUCUGAUCAUGCAGACCAGGAGCAGCUGAUGAGUAGGCUACAGACCAGCCCUGGCCUGUCCACACUUCCCCUUCUGUUUCUGUGUUUUGGACAUCCCUGUUUGGAUCACUGGUGUUGACAGAUAUUUGGGGAACAAGAAGAAAGAAUAUGGCAAAAUUUGGAAAAGAUUUUGGGUGCUUCCCCCAAAUGGCAGGGGCAGAGCUUAAAGGGGCAAUCAAACUGAAAUGCAUUGGAAAGGCAGAAAGAAGUGUAACACAGAAGCAAAGGCAAACUAAUGAAAGUCAGAAUGAAUUUAUGAGGCACCUUAGUGAAACAAGUGGUUAUGCUGAAGAUGAACCAAUGGCAUUUACUCUUUUAAGUCUGCAUGUAGUACGGAACUCACAUGAUUCGAAAGAUACAAUGCCAACUUUCUCCAAAAUGAGAAUUGAGGAUGAAGCAAAGUGGCAACAUGAGAUAUUACAGCAUAAUUUCAGAUCUGCUUCACAUUUCACUUACCAUCCUUGUUUUUCCUUGUGA
rnacentral:lncRNA from 1 species